CCUACGGGAGGCAGCAGUGGGGAAUUUUGGGCAAUGGCCGCAAGGCUGACCCAGCAACGCCGCGUGAGCGAUGAAGUCCUUCGGGAUGUAAAGCUCGGAAGCCGGGGAAGAAAAGCCCGGGGCUAACACCCCCGGGUCUUGACGGUACCCGGUCUAAGCCCCGGCUAACUACGUGCCAGCAGCCGCGGUAAUACGUAGGGGGCAAGCGUUGUUCGGAAUUACUGGGCGUAAAGCGCGCGUAGGCGGCGCGGUCAGUCGGGUGUGAAAGCCCCGGGCUCAACCCGGGAACGGCACUCGAUACUGCCGGGCUGGAGUACGGAAGAGGCGGCCGGAAUUCCCAGUGUAGCGGUGAAAUGCGUAGAUAUUGGGAGGAACACCGGGUGCGAAGGCGGGCCGCUGGGCCGAUACUGACGCUGAGGCGCGAAAGCCAGGGGAGCGAA
rnacentral:rRNA from 1 species